GACGUAGGUGGCGAACGUUAUCCGGAAUUAUUGGGCGUAAAGGGUGCGUAGAUGGCAUGAUAAGUUACUAGUGGUAAAACGAGGCUCAACCUCGUGGAAGUUAGUAAUACUGUCUUGCUUGAGUUCAGGAGAGGUUAACGGAAUUCUCUGUGGAGCGGUAAAAUGCAUAGAUAUAGAGAGGAAACACCAAAAAAGGCGAAGGCAG
rnacentral:rRNA from 1 species